UGCAGCCAUGCCGCGUGUGUGAAGAAGGCCUUCGGGUUGUAAAGCACUUUCAGCGAGGAGGAAAGGUUGUCGGUUAAUACCCGACAGCUGUGACGUUACUCGCAGAAGAAGCACCGGCUAACUCCGUGCCAGCAGCCGCGGUAAUACGGAGGGUGCGAGCGUUAAUCGGAAUUACUGGGCGUAAAGCGCAUGCAGGCGGCCAAGUCAGUCAGAUGUGAAAGCCCCGGGCUCAACCUGGGAAUUGCAUUUGAUACUGCUUGGCUAGAGUCCUUGAGAGGGGGGUAGAAUUUCAGGUGUAGCGGUGAAAUGCGUAGAGAUCUGAAGGAAUACCAGUGGCGAAGGCGGCCCCCUGGCAAGAGACUGACGCUCAGAUGCGAAAGCGUGGGGAGCAAACAGGAUUAGAUACCCUGGUAGUCCACGCCGUAAACGAUGUCUAUUAGGAGUCUGUGGCCUUGAGCUGUGGGUUCCAAAGCUAACGCAUUAAAUAGAC
rnacentral:rRNA from 1 species